rnacentral:rRNA from 1 species
AGAGUUUGAUCCUGGCUCAGGAUGAACGCUAGCUACAGGCUUAACACAUGCAAGUCGAGGGGCAGCAUGUUGGUUGCUUGCAACCAACGAUGGCGACCGGCGCACGGGUGAGUAACGCGUAUCCAACCUACCCUUGUCCAUCGGAUAACCCGUCGAAAGGCGGCCUAACACGAUAUGCGGUUCACAGCAGGCAUCUAACGUGAACGAAAUGUAAAGGAGAAGGAUGGGGAUGCGUCUGAUUAGCUUGUUGGCGGGGUAACGGCCACCAAGGCUACGAUCAGUAGGGGUUCUGGAGAGGAACGGUCCCCCACAUUGGAACUGGAGACACGGUCCAAACUCCUACGGGAGCA